rnacentral:piRNA from 1 species
UCUGCCAGGGUGUUUCCUAUGAAGUUGAGU